GAGUGAACGCUGGCGGUAGGCCUAACACAUGCAAGUCGAACGGCAGCACAGUAAGAGCUUGCUCUUACGGGUGGCGAGUGGCGGACGGGUGAGGAAUACAUCGGAAUCUACUUUUUCGUGGGGGAUAACGUAGGGAAACUUACGCUAAUACCGCAUACGACCUACGGGUGAAAGCAGGGGAUCUUCGGACCUUGCGCGAUUGAAUGAGCCGAUGUCGGAUUAGCUAGUUGGCGGGGUAAAGGCCCACCAAGGCGACGAUCCGUAGCUGGUCUGAGAGGAUGAUCAGCCACACUGGAACUGAGACACGGUCCAGACUCCUACGGGAGGCAGCAGUGGGGAAUAUUGGACAAUGGGCGCAAGCCUGAUCCAGCCAUACUGCGUGGGUGAAGAAGGCCUUCGGGUUGUAAAGCCCUUUUGUUGGGAAAGAAAAGCAGCAGGUUAAUACCCCGCUGUUCUGACGGUACCCAAAGAAUAAGCACCGGCUAACUUCGUG
rnacentral:rRNA from 1 species